rnacentral:snoRNA from 1 species
AUGAGGAAGGCCCGUCAUCGCUGAACUAGGUGUGGAGAAAUCUGGGUUCUGA